rnacentral:rRNA from 1 species
GAUGAACGCUGGCGGCGUGCCUAAUACAUGCAAGUCGAGCGAACGAACGAGAAGCUUGCUUCUCUGAUGUUAGCGGCGGACGGGAGAGUAACACGUGGAUAACCUACCUAAAAGACUGGGAUAACUUCGGGAAACCGGAGCUAAUACCGGAAAAUAUUUUGAACCGCAUGGUUCAAAAGUGAAAGACGGUCUUGCUGUCACUUAUAGAUGGAUCUGCGCGGCAUUAGGUAGUUGGUAAGGUAACGGCUUACCAAGGCAACGAUGAAUAGCCGACCGGGGAGGGUGAUCGCCCACCCUGGAACGGAGACACGGUCCAGACUCCUACGGGAGGCAGCAGUAGGGAAUCUUCCGCAAUGGGCGAAAGCCUGACGGAGCAACGCCGCGUGAGUGAUGAAGGUCUUCGGAUCGUAAAACUCUGUUAUUAGGGAAGACCAUAUGUGUAAGUAACUGUGCACAUCUUGACGGUACCUAAUCAGAAAGCCACGGCUAACUACGUG